GAUGAACGCUGGCGGCGUGCCUAAUACAUGCAAGUCGAGCGAACAGACGAGGUACUUGCUCCUCUGACGUUAGCGGCGGACGGGUGAGUAACACGUGGAUAACCUACCUAUAAGACUGGGAUAACUUCGGGAAACCGGAGCUAAUACCGGAUAAUAUAUUUAACCACAUGGUUCAAUAGUGAAAGACGGUUUUGCUUUCACUUAUGGUUGUAUCGCGGCGGCUUUAGUUAGUUGUUAAGUUAACGGCUUACCAAGGCAACGAUGCUUAGCCGACCUGAGAGGGUGAUCGGCAACACUGGAACUGAGCAACGGUCAAACCUCCUACGGGGGGCAGCAGAAGGGAAUCUUGCGAAAGGGGGAAAGGCUGGACGGAGCAAGGCGGCGGAGGGGAGGAAGUUCUCCGGAUGGUAAAACCCUGUUAUUAGGGAAGAACAAAUGUGUAAGUAACUAUGCACGAAUUGACGGUAACUAAUCAGAAAGCCACGGCUAACUACGUG
rnacentral:rRNA from 1 species